CCGCCCCCAACACUAACAGAAGCGGAGGGUCGAUGUAAAACCUAAGAAUGGCUGGUCAGCUGUUGAGAGGAAGGCAGGAAAAGGUCAGAGCCGUCUGUCCAUGCCUGGAUGUGAAAGCCAGUGAGCAGGGUGCCUCGCUCCACAUCCCAGGUUGAAGUUGCUGAUGAGGAGCUUCCGGCCAUCCUGACUAAGCCGCAGUCGACCCCCACCUCCUGAAGCCAAGGGCCGUCCUUCCCGGGCCCAGGAUGCUCUUGAGGGUGGGGGACAGCCAGUGACCUCCAGUGCUACC